CAAACUACACUCCAAAGCCUG
rnacentral:siRNA from 1 species